UUCAACUCAAGUUUUUACAGUGGCUAAUGAUUGAUAUUUAAGGACAAAGGUAAUCAAUGAUGUCAUGACAGGUGUCCUUUAGCACGUGACUUCACAUGAUCCAAGAGCUCCAAAUUUGUUAUGAAGGAAGCUUCCUGGAACCUUGCAUUGCUUCGGGAAUCUUCUGAGAACGUUAUCUUGCUUUGUGUUGCUGCAGGAUAACGACUGAGUAUUAAUGGGCUUUGACUGAGUUUCUUUGAUGGGCUUCAGUGUUUGUGUUGCAGGUCCAGCUUCACUUGAGAGCAAAACCUCUGUUUCAGCUGGAGAGUUCCUUAUACUCCCCCGCAAACUUGGCGUGGGUGGCAAGCAAACGCCGAGUUUGAACCUCAAAUCAAAGAACGCUUGUUGAGGAAGAGACUUGGUGAAGACAUCUGCAAUCUGAUCAGGAGCUGGAAUGUGCUUAACAAUAAGAGCUCCAAGUGCAACCUGUUCUCGCACAUGAUGAAAGUCUCUAGCAAAGUGCUUUGUUUUUGAGUGAAGUGUAGGAUUGGCAGUGAGAUGAACCGCCGAGAGAUUAUCACAAUAUAACUCUGGAGUAAUAGGCUGAGCAACUCCUAUUUCCCGUAAGAGUGAAUUCAACCACAUUAUUUCUCGAGAAGCUAAUGAAAGAGUUCGAUACUCUGCUUCAGUGGAUGAAUGGGAAACAGUAGAAUGCUUCUUCGAAGACCAUGAUAUAAUAUUUUCUCCGAGGAAUGUACAGAAACCUCCUGUGCUGCGGCUAGUGUCUUUGCAACCUGACCAAUCACUGUCGCUGUAUACACGAAGAGUAGAGUCUGUAGUAUUCGAAAAAUUGAUACCCAUGCUUAUUGUACCUUUCACAUUACCAGUAGGUGGAUAAAGGCACCUAUAACCUUUAUAUUUUUCAUUAUAGCCUAAGAAGACACAAAGUAAUGAUCUAGGAUCAAUGUCAGGCCGGGUCAAUGUAAGAUAUUGGAGCUUCCCUGCCAAGCUUCUAAAAUAUGUAGGAUCAGAGAAUGGCUUUUAGAAGCUCAUAAGGACUUUUGUUGUCAGCUAAUGCAGAAGAUGGUAGCAGAUUGCCCAAAAAGGAAGCAGUGAAGAAAGCUUCUAACCAUAGAUAUUGAGGAAUCUUGCUUUGAAACAUCAUUGAGAGGCCAAGUUCAGUAAUGUGCCUAUGCUUUCUUUCAGCCAACCCAUUCUGUUGCGGUGUGUGAGGGCAUGAAAUGAGUUGCUUGAUGCCACAUGUGGCUAGAUGAGACACAAAUCUUGAGCUUAUGAACUCACCUCCUCCAUCACACUGAAAGUUAGCAAUUUUCUGCAUAAAAAGAUUCUCCACCAUUUGUUGAAACAAAACAAAAACAGAGAAGAAGUCGGAUUUGAGCUUGAGAGGAUAAAACCAGGUAAACCUUGAGUAAUUAUCAAUAAAAAUCACAUAAUAACGAAAUCCCUGAGCAGAAAUAACAGGUGCUGGACCCCAUAAGUCACAGUGGAUGCGUUCUAAGGGUCUUUUUGAAACAAAAUCAGAAGUAGAAAAUGGGAGUUUACAAGACUUUCCCAUCUGACAAGCAUCACACAAACGAUUGCUUGUUUUAUUCAUCACUAUAGCUUUAUUAUUGGAUAGGUGCUGCAGUAUUUCACCAUUAGGAUGUCCCAGUCGCAAGUGCCAAAUCUCCCCAGAAGUAGCUUGUUGUCUAGAAGAGUAAAACGCAGCAAACUGAGAAUUCUCUAACACAUAAAGAUCUUUAUGCCUGUUUCCUCGUGUGAGGAGCUGUUUGGUCCGUUUGUCCUUCACAACAACACCAUCAGAGUCAAAUUCAACAACACAAGGAUAAUCUGCUGUGAGUUUUGAUACCGAUAAUAGAGACUUUGUGAUGUUUGGACAAACUAAAACAUCUUCUAAAGGUAAAGUAGUACCUUGGAGAGUUGGAAUUGCUAUAGAACCAACAUGAGUGAUUGGAAGGAAUUCUCCAUUACCAACAAUAACUGCAUCAUCACCUCUGUAAGGUUGUGAGUGUUGGAGCUGAGCAGUAGAGUUGGUUAUGUGAGCUGUUGCCGCCGAGUCUGGAAGCCAUUCGUGACCCUGAGUCUGACCAGAGAGCGUCAUUGCAGCCAUUGCCGUGUGAACAUCUUCCAUCUGAUAUGAGUGAUCAAAUCUCUUGUAGCAUUUGACUGCUGAAUGACCAUACUUACCACAAAUCUGACAGGUUGGACGUUCUGAACCAGAAUCUGAGGAUUGAUAGUUGAUUUGUUGGUGAAACCCUCUUCCCCGUGUAGAGUAGCCACGACCUCUUCCACGAGAACCAGACCGACCAUUAUUCUGACCUCGACCUUGAGUGUAGUAGGUUUUGUCAGCAGUAAAGGCAAGAUGCGGUGUGACACUGGCUGCAGAAUUGUAUCCCUGAAGCUUAUCGUCAAAAUUUGUGAGACGAUAUCCAACAUCCUCAAAAGACUGAGUAGGAAAGGUAUCCAUUGAGUUUUCAAUAAAAGUGGAUAUGGAUUCAUAUUCCUGACCUAAACCAUGUAACACACCAUAGAUUUUCUCUGGAUCUGUGAGAGCACAACCAAUAGACGCAAGUUGAUCGCAUAUAGUUUUAGCCUCAGACAAGUAUUGAGUCAUAGAUUUUCCUUCCUUAGACAAAUUGUUUAAACGCCUUUGCAGAUCUAACUUUCUAGUAGCAGACACCCUAUUAUACUUCUUGGCCAAAGCAAACCAUACCUCCUGGGAUGUGUGGAGACCAUAGACAGAACGCAGAGCAUCCUCUGACAGAGACCCAAACAGCCAAGACAGCACAUUUUGAUCAUUCCUGACCCAUUUGACGAACUCUGGAUUUGGAGCUUCUGUGACCUGAUCUCCAUUGCGCACAGUUAUCGUAGGAGGAGGACGUGGAGUGCCACCAGUGACGUAGCCCACAAGCAUCUGACUCGAGAGAAAGCACUCGAACUGAGUCUUCCAUAGCAAGUAGUUUGAUUCAGUGAGUUUUAGUGUAACACACUGAGAGAUUCUCAAAGCGGAAAGAGAAAAAGAUUCAGGAGAGCCAUCCAUGGCUCUGAUACCAUGAAAGCUUUAAGAAAGCUAGAGAGAAAAUUUUGGAGAAGAAGAACUUUUCUUGUCUUUAUUCAACUCAAGUUUUUACAGUGGCUAAUGAUUGAUAUUUAAGGACAAAGGUAAUCAAUGAUGUCAUGACAGGUGUCCUUUAGCACGUGACUUCACAUGAUCCAAGAGCUCCAAAUUUGUUAUGAAGGAAGCUUCCUGGAACCUUGCAUUGCUUCGGGAAUCUUCUGAGAACGUUAUCUUGCUUUGUGUUGCUGCAGGAUAACGACUGAGUAUUAAUGGGCUUUGACUGAGUUUCUUUGAUGGGCUUCAGUGUUUGUGUUGCAGGUCCAGCUUCACUUGAGAGCAAAACCUCUGUUUCAGCUGGAGAGUUCCU
rnacentral:lncRNA from 1 species